rnacentral:lncRNA from 1 species
UCAAAAUGAGUUAGAUGAUUAAAUAAAGUGUGGUGAUGCUAAAAGUAACCUUAAGUAACUUAAAUAUACAUGCCUAUACUAUCCUAGUGUCCAGAGUUGGAAAAAUUUGGAAAAAGUACAAAAUCAAUUUUGUAAAAAAAGUAAGAAAAUGGCUAAGUUUGAGCCCUGUUUUGGAAAGCCUAAUGGGCAUGAACCAGAAUCCUAAACCUUGAUUAAAAUACCUUGUAGUAUGGUCUAGAAGUUGGGCCAAGUGGUUAAGCUCUUGGCUUAACCAAGGAGUCUAAACAAAUCACCAAACUAACUUGGAAAAUCACUAAAACUGCAGUUUUUGCAAAUUUGUCUAAGUAUGAAAAUUUGAGAUUUUUCCAUUUG